UCGGGAAUAUUGCGCAAUGGAGGAAACUCUGACGCAGUGACGCCGCGUGCAGGAAGAAGGUUUUCGGAUUGUAAACUGCUUUAGACAGGGAAGAAUAAAGACAGUACCUGUAGAAUAAGCUCCGGCUAACUACGUGCCAGCAGCCGCGGUAAUACGUAGGGAGCAAGCGUUAUCCGGAUUUAUUGGGCGUAAAGGGAGCGUAGACGGCGAUGCAAGUCUGAAGUGAAAUACCCGGGCUCAACCUGGGAACUGCUUUGGAAACUGUAUGGCUAGAGUGCUGGAGAGGUAAGCGGAAUUCCUAGUGUAGCGGUGAAAUGCGUAGAUAUUAGGAAGAACACCAGUGGCGAAGGCGGCUUACUGGACAGUAACUGACGUUCAGGCUCGAAAGCGUGGGGAGCAAACAGGAUUAGAUACCCUGGUAGU
rnacentral:rRNA from 1 species